GAUUAAAUGAGAUGAUGUGCACAAGAUGUUUAGUUAGCAUAGACAUGUAGUAAAUGUUCAUUACAUUAUUAAUGGUGUAGUUGAUGGAGUGUAGCUAUAACCCCAGCCUUGAUAAAAUCCAAUGUAAGGCCAAAGGAUGAAUUUCCCAUUAAUUUUCACUAUUUUAAGCCUGCAUUGAAAAUGCACUGUGUAUUAGAAUUUGGACCAGGUGAUAACAUAGAGAAACAGGCGACCUUCACCUCUGACCCUAAGGUUCAAAGAAUCACAUGUAACUUCCCAGUUCUCAUACAUUGCUAGUACUUUGCUGUAUUGCUGCCUUCCCUGACCCCCUUUUUGACCCUGUGGGCAGCUGCAAUUGGGUCACAGGAAUGAGUUAAACAGAGGGCCCUAUAGGGGUGGAGGCUGCAAGGAACAGGGAGGGUGGGAGUUUUUAGCACCUUUUCUCACAUCCCUUUAAUGGAAACUCCAAGGCUACAUACCCAUCUAAUUAGAAUCCAAAACUCUGUUCCUGCAUGUGUGAUUUUAACAGCUUGUCUGGCUUCCUCCCCUCUCCCACUGAGAUAAUUCAUCUGGGAUUAUCUUUUCUAUUCUAUUUCUAACCACUAUUCUGUGGUGCUGCUCCCUCUGUUGCAGUGUUCUUCACACACCCCAAUCUGUCUAUUUCAGGGCCCUGUUUAGAGAUCACCUCCUCUGCGAAGACCACCCUGAUUUCAGAGCUGGAAAUAAUUUUCCUGAAGAGAAACUAUUUAGAUCAGUGCUUCACAACUUUUAUUUUGAAUGUAAACUUUCACAUAUGAAUCAGCCCAGAGAUUUUGCUCAGAAUCAGAUUGAAUAGGUCGAGGUGGGGCCCAUGAUUCUGUGUUUCUGACAUCCUUGCGGUGCUGGUGAUGCCUCCGGUCUGUGCUUCUACGAGGAGUAGCAGCGAUCCUGAAUUUGCCUACAUAUCAGAAUCCCGUUGCAGUCUUGUUGAAGCUGUGAAUCCUGGAGCCAGCCUUUGCACGGAGACCACUCUUGGCAGCAGCUCCGGGUUGACCCCUGGGUAGCAAUGAACCCCUCGUGAGAAACAAUGACAAGCAAAGUGUCAGGACUUCAAAGCUACUGAAAGGCUUCCGAACUACGCCAAGCCCUGGUGCCCAGUGGAGCAGCCGAGGAGCAGGGGAGGGGGGUGACUGUGACAUAUACACACGUUUGCUUUCAUUUGGCUUAGCUGACUGUGUGUUUUGUUAAACAAAUUUAGGUUUGGAAAAGAUUAUUUUUGGUACACUGCUGCAUAAUUAGAUGAAUUUUCAUGAGUUUAUUCUUGAAAUAAACUUUGAAAUUGUCCGUGUUUUACUGUUUUUUAAUCAUCUGCAGAUACUGUUUUUUUGAGACUUCGCGUGAAAAAAAAAAACUUGUUACAUAUCAGUUUAAUUUAGAUUCAAAUAAAAUAAUUUUUUGAAUUUGCAGCAACAACAAGUCUGCGAAAGUGGUUGUAACUGGUGCUGAGUUGUUUGA
rnacentral:lncRNA from 1 species